rnacentral:rRNA from 1 species
GACGAACGCUGGCGGCGUGCUUAACACAUGCAAGUCGAACGGAAAGGCCUCUUUCGGGGGGUACUCGAGUGGCGAACGGGUGAGUAACACGUGAGUAACCUGCCCUUGGCUUUGGGAUAACUCCAGGAAACGGGGGCUAAUACCGGAUAGGAGCUCCUGCUGCAUGGUGGGGGUUGGAAAGCUUCGGCGGUUGGGGGUGGACUCGCGGCUUAUCAGCUUGGUUGUGGGGGAGUGGCUUACCAGGGCUUUGACGGGUAGCCGGCCAGAGAGAGUGAGCGGCCGCAUUGGGACCGAGAGACGGCCCAGACGCCGACGGGUGGCAGAUGGGGGGAAUCUUGCACCAUGGAUGGAAGCCUGAUGAAGAAAGGCUGUGGGCGGGAUAGCGCUUUUCGGUUUGUAAACCGCUUUUGCGCUUGACGAAGCGUUGUGUGACGGUAGUGGGUAAAUAAGCACCGGCUAACUACGUG